rnacentral:lncRNA from 1 species
UUCUUUCUUUCUAAGGAUUAAUGCCUCAAAAAUCAUCCCUCUUCCCUACGAAACCUGACGUACGUGCGAAGUAGAGGGUCUGUGCAUUCAGACCUUGCGAGGCAUCUAAUUCAAGUUUUUUAGGAGAUUUUGAUCUCUAUUUCACUGUGAACAAGAUAAUCCAUAAUUGUUAUGUAAUCCUUAGAAUAGAAAAAUUUUUUAGAUGCACCC